rnacentral:rRNA from 1 species
GACGAACCGUGCGAACGUUGUUCGGAUUCACUGGGCUUAAAGGGCGCGUAGGCGGGUUAUCAAGUCAGGGGUGAAAUCUUUCGGCUUAACCGGAAAACAGCUUCUGAUACUGGUAGUCUUGAGGGAGGUAGGGGCAGGUGGAACUUCCGGUGGAGCGGUGAAAUGUGUUGAUAUCGGAAGGAACGCCGGUGGCGAAAGCGACCUGCUGGAUCUCUUCUGACGCUGAGGCGCGAAAGCUAGGGGAGCGAACGGG